GGCGGAUGAGCCAAGUGGAUCAAGGCAGUGGAUUUGUGAAUCC
rnacentral:tRNA from 1 species